rnacentral:rRNA from 1 species
UGGGGAAUAUUGCACAAUGGAGGGAACUCUGAUGCAGCAACGCCGCGUGAAGGAAGAAGGUUUUCGGAUCGUAAACUUCUAUCGACAGGGAAGAAAGAAAUGACGGUACCUGAGUAAGAAGCCCCGGCUAACUACGUGCCAGCAGCCGCGGUAAUACGUAGGGGGCAAGCGUUAUCCGGAAUUACUGGGUGUAAAGGGUGAGUAGGCGGUUAUAUAAGCCAUAUGUGAAAUCUUAGGGCUCAACUUUAAGACUGCAUAAGGAACUGUAUAACUAGAGUGCAGGAGAGGUAAGUGGAAUUCCUAGUGUAGCGGUGAAAUGCGUAGAUAUUAGGAGGAACACCAGUGGCGAAGGCGACUUACUGGACUGAAACUGACGCUGAGUCACGAAAGCGUGGGGAGCAAACAG